GAUUUAAAUGUGCGUCUUAACGGAGUCUGUUCAAAGUUUUCCCCUGCAGAUGAAAGAAAAUCACACAAGUAAAUAUUCCAUUCCCUUUUUAAGCACAAGCAAGGCCAAAAAGCAGGACAUCAGCAGGUAGACUCGAGGACUCAGGAAAAAAGAUAACCACCAUCUAUUGCAAGAAGUUAGCUGUGAAGGAAGAGUCUAGAAGGUUAGAAGAUCAAGAACCACAUAAACAUCCAUGAAGAUAGAGCAUCAGAUGAACAAAGUGCUUUUUUUUAUUUUUCCCCACACUUUUUCCUUUACCUUCUGUUGCACUUGAAAUGAAACGGCUGCCACCAUCUCGGGUUUUAGAGGCCUGUAUAUACUGGCAUAAAGCUAUAUAACAAAUAAAAACAACACUGCAUUAUACAUUUCA